rnacentral:sRNA from 1 species
UGACCCUUCUUAAGCCGAGGGUCACCUAGCCAACUGACGUUGUUAGUGAACCUUUAUUGUUCACACAAAAUAUAUAGCCAAUCACGUUUAUUGUGGUUGGUUUUUUUUUG